rfam:Pichia membranifaciens DNA, contig: CON510, strain: KS47-1.
AAGUCCAUAAUUUAAUCGGUUAAAAUGUUUCCUUGAUAAGGAAGAUUUAGAUGUUCAAAUCAUCUUGGACUUA